rnacentral:rRNA from 1 species
AACGGCUUCACGAGAGCUAUACUGUCUCCCCCCUUAAAUCAGUGAAACUGAUCUCCCCGUGAAGAAGCAGGGAUAUCAUUAUAAGACGAGAAGACCCCAUGGAACUUUAACACUUGUACCACUGCCCAUGCCCACACCAACUACCCAGCAAACAUGGCUACAAGUCUUUCGGUUGGGGCGACCACGGAGAAAAACCAAACCUCCACGAUGACAUCUAUUUAAGAGCUACUGCUCUAAAAAUCAAUAAAUUGACAUAAUUUGACCCAAACACUUUGACCAACGAACCAAGCUACCCUGGGGAUAACAGCGCAAUCCACUUCAAGAGACCCCAUCGACAAGUGGGCUUACGACCUCGAUGUUGGAUCAGGGUAUCCCAGUGGUGCAGCCGCUACUAACGGUUCGUUUGUUCAACGAUUAAAACCCU